UACAGGGGGUGCAAACGUUGCUCGGAAUCAUUGGGCGUAAAGCGCACGUAGGCGGUUCGUUAUGUCGGAUGUGAAAGCCCCUUGGCUUAACCGAGGAAGUGCAUCCGAAACUGGCGAGCUAGAGUACGAAAGAGGAUCGCGGAAUUCCCGGUGUAGAGGUGAAAUUCGUAGAUAUCGGGAGGAACACCGGUGGCGAAGGCGGCGAUCUGGGUCGAUACUGACGCUGAGGUGCGAAAGCGUGGGGAGCGAACCGG
rnacentral:rRNA from 1 species